rnacentral:rRNA from 1 species
AGUGGCAGACGGGUGAGUAAUGUAUAGGAAUCUACCUAGUAGUACGGAAUAAUUGUUGGAAACGGCAACUAAUACCGUAUACGCCCUACGGGGGAAAGAUUUAUCGCUAUUAGAUGAGCCUAUAUUAGAUUAGCUAGUUGGUAAGGUAAUGGCUUACCAAGGCAAUGAUCUAUAGCUGAUCUGAGAGGAUGAUCAGCCACACUGGAACUGAGAUACGGUCCAGACUCCUACGGGAGGCAGCAGUGGGGAAUAUUGGACAAUGGGCGAAAGCCUGAUCCAGCCAAGCCGCAUGAGUGAAGAAGGCCUUUGGGUUGUAAAGCUCUUUCGGUGAGGAAGAUAAUGACGGUACUCACAGAAGAAGUCCUGGCUAACUCCGUGCCAGCAGCCGCGGUAAUACGGAGAGGGCUAGCGUUAUUCGGAAUUAUUGGGCGUAAAGAGCGCGUAGGCUGGUUAGUAAGUUAAAAGUGAAAUCCCAAAGCUCAACUUUGGAAUUGCUUUUAAAACUGCUAACCUAGAGAUUGAAAGAGGAUAGAGGAAUUCCUAGUGUAGAGGUGAAAUUCGUAAAUAUUANGAGGAACACCAGUGGCGAAGG